rnacentral:rRNA from 1 species
UACAGGGGUCUCAAGCGUUGUUCGGAUUCAUUGGGCGUAAAGGGUGCGUAGGUGGCGCCGUAAGUCAGGUGUGAAAUUUCGGAGCUUAACUCCGAAACUGCAUUUGAUACUGCGGUGCUUGAGGACUGGAGAGGAGACUGGAAUUCAUGGUGUAGCAGUGAAAUGCGUAGAGAUCAGGAAGAACACCGGUGGCGAAAGCGCUCUGCUGGACCUAAACUGACACUGAGGGACGAAAGCUAGGGGAGCGAAUGGG